ACUUUAAUGUUCACUCAAAUAUUUAAGAAUUAGGAUUACACACGUGUGAUGGGAGAUAUUCAGGUAUAAAUUCCACGUAGACCGCUAAUCCGUCAAAGUUCAAAGGAAUGCCUGAUCUCCCUUCAGCGAGCAGUAAGGCAGCUGAAGGAGAAAGGAGGCGAGUUCAGCCUUUCUUAGCCCUCAAGCAACAAGUUAAACCAAUACUGCCAACCAUCACAUCGAUAUGCGUGUGAUUUUGUAAAAGCCGCAUACUGAUCACGACCGGAUUAAACAUAGAUCAUAUCACAAAUAUGCCAAUCCAAACCUAACGCGCU
rnacentral:lncRNA from 1 species